CCCUUAGAUGUUCUGGGCCGCACGCGCGCUACACUGAUGCAUUCAACGAGUUUUUCCUGGUCCGAGAGGAAUGGGUAACCUUUUGAAAGUGCAUCGUGCUAGGGAUAGACUAUUGCAAUUAUUGGUCUUCAACGAGGAAUUCCUAGUAGACGUAGUUCAUCAGACUGCAUCGAUUACGUCCCUGCCCUUUGUACACACCGCCCGUCGCUACUACCGAUUGAAUGGUUUAGUGAGAUCUCUGGAUUGACGCUGGCUAGGGGGCGACCCUUGGCCAGACUGUUGAGAAACUGCUCAAACUUGAUCAUUUAGAGGAAGUAAAAGUCGUAACA
rnacentral:rRNA from 1 species